rnacentral:lncRNA from 13 species
UGUUAUUAUUGUAAACCCGACGAAACUCCCCCGUAUUACCUACGUGUAUGGCCGCGGUCCGAUUUGCGCUUAAAUCACUAUUGACUUUAUUCUCUUCUUGUUUAUAUCUAAUGAAUAAUGAAGAUAGAAUAAUGUUAAUAGCGCCUUGAACGUGAAUCGGACCGCGGCCUAUAUACCCCACCAUAUGACUCUAGUGCAGAAUUGAACAUUUUUAUCGGUAGUGAAUUUGCUACGUAGUACCAAUUUCAAAACUUGCGGUAGUGUAUGGAGGAUUUUAUGUCGGUUGGUCGCAUGCAGAUAAAUAAAAAAAAACGCCCGGACGGCCGCUCUCAGUCUUCUCUCUGAUAAAACUCUAGACGGUAAAGCGUCAUUUACGUCCAUUGAGUCGGAAAUCGUUUUGUUGCGUCUCAACACGUUAACAUCAACGUGAUCCGUAGCAAUAAACGGUGAUACGUAUACCGUCAAUUAAAUCGGAUCAAGUGAGCAAUUGAACUUGAGAAAUGAUUGUAAAUUACCGAACACCCGGUAAUUCAUUUGGAAGAAUCCGAGAAAAUUCUGGUUCGUACCGCCGAUAUUUAGAUUUUGUUUUUAUGCGAAAACGAAAGAGAAGAGUGGAAAAGAGAGAAGAGCGAAUAAUCAUUACGCGUUGUGAAAUAAGUAUCCUCGAACGCAAAAUUAUGAAAGCACGAAACGAAAAUGCCUAAGAAGUUUUAAAAGAGAGAGAGAGAGAG